rnacentral:rRNA from 1 species
UACGAAGGGGGCUAGCGUUGCUCGGAAUUACUGGGCGUAAAGCGCACGUAGGCGGUCUUUUAAGUCGGUGGUGAAAUCCUGGAGCUCAACUCCAGGACUGCCUUCGAUACUGGAAGACUUGAGUCCGGGAGAGGUGAGUGGAACUGCGAGUGUAGAGGUGAAAUUCGUAGAUAUUCGCAAGAACACCAGUGGCGAAGGCGGCUCACUGGCCCGGUACUGACGCUGAGGUGCGAAAGCGUGGGGAGCAAACAGG